rnacentral:rRNA from 1 species
UACGGGGGGGGCAAGCGUUGUUCGGAAUUACUGGGCGUAAAGGGUGCGUAGGCGGCUUUCUAAGUUGGAUGUGAAAACUAUGGGCUCAACCCAUAGCCUGCAUCCAAAACUGGAGAGCUUGGGUUCUGGAGGGGAAAGCGGAAUUCCUGGUGUAGCGGUGAAAUGCGUAGAUAUCAGGAGGAACACCGGUGGCGAAGGCGGCUCACUGGUCCGGUACUGACGCUGAGGUGCGAAAGCGUGGGGAGCAAACAGG